rnacentral:misc_RNA from 1 species
AAAGUCGUAACAAGGUUUCCGUAGGUGAACCUGCGGAAGGAUCAUCGCCGAUGGUUUUAUACAAGUGGGGUUGUUUCUGGGGGGGGUGGUUGUCUCUCUUGGGGGAGAUGAUGCCUCUCUCUUGAACAUGCCUCGUACACUCCCAACAAACACAAUAGGGCUGACUGAGCGUGGAUGUAGCAUUGUUAUGGCAACACAACUUUCAACAACGGAUCUCUUGGCUCUC